rnacentral:lncRNA from 1 species
AUUAAAGUUAGCCAGGUGGUGGCACAGGCCUUUAAUCCCAGCACUUGGGAAGCAGAGGUCGUUUACUACAGCGCAUAGACUUCCCAUUGUCUAACACGCCUAAUCAAAUAUAAACAAUCAGUUCUUUACUAAUGCUGUUUUAUGGAAAUUUCCAACAAGUGAAUAAUUUCCUAGGAUCACGCUCUGUUCAUAUGUUCUAAUUAAAUAAGUGCCAAUCUAGUCUAUAGUCUGGUUCAAGGUGUACCACUUUACCUCAGUACUACUGACAAUAAAAUGUAACAAGCACGUCAGAAUCUGAAACCUCACACCAACGAAACAAAACAAGCCCUGUUUACACAGGUAGGACUAAAUUAGACUUUAAGAACAGACCCUUGGUUUUAAUCUGAAAACAAUUACUUUAGGAAAAAGUAAAAGGGCUAAGAACCCAAGACAAGGACUAUCCCACACAACGUGGAGCCCGUCUAUCCUCACCUCACGCUAGCAACUGCCAAGCCCCUCAUGCC